GUCAAUAGGCGGGGCUGGUGAGUGUGUGUGUGUUUUUUUUUGUCCAGUAUUUCGAUGGCCAGUUGUGAAACCCUAAAAGAACAAGAUCCCUCAAAUCCUCCUCCUCCUCUUGGCCAACAAUCACUAGAUUCUAAAAAUACCCUAAUACAAGAAGAAGAAGAAGAACAGAAAAAUAAUCCUCCAAUUGAAAAACCACCGCUACAUUCUGAAACAAUAGGAGAUGAUGAUGAAGAAGAAGAUCAAAAUCCCACAAACCCUAAUAAUAGCAUCCAACAAUCAGAUAAAGAAGAAGAUGAUGAUGAUGAAGAAGAUGAUGAUGACGUUGAUGAUAAUGACAAUUCCCUUGUGUUUCUCGACCAAAAACCAUCAACAAUGACGUCACCAACUAGCUGCCGCUUCACCACCAUCCGUACUCAAAAGAGGAGCAGCAAGAGGAAGGGCAAGAAGAAAGGUAACAACAUGAAAAAAGUUCAAAAGAUUCAAAACUUGAUUGCUAGUCUUAAGCCUAUACCUUUUGUUAGUAAGAAGUUAGAUUUGGUUAAAUAUGAGGGUGUUCUAAAGAAAUCCGGGCUAUACGACUUCACCCAAAUCGACUUUGACCCUGAAAUUCAAACCCAUUUUAUCGCUGAGUUGAUCGUUAAUUACGAUCCCAAGAAGCGUUGUAGUUAUGUCAAUGAUUGUAGAAUUAGUGUUGCUAGGCCCGACUUAGCUAGGGCUUUCAAACUCCCCAUAGCCAAGCAGCAAGAUAACAAGCUUCAACAGGUUGAUUUGGAUUCUGACCAGUUUUCCGAGGAUGAUAUUGGGUUUCUCGAAAACUUUGUUAUGAAUUGGAUUCUCUUAGGUGAAGAACAGUGGGAUACUCCCACUGAGAUUGCGAAUUGGACCAGGUGUAUUAGAGAUGGUCAUCCUGAAAAAUUGGAUUCCGCUAGUUUGAUUUGGUUUAAGGUUGAGAAAGAGCUUGCUCAAGGUGAUAAGCUUGUUGACUGCUACUAUGCUUCCCAUCUCCAGUAUUUGAUUAGGUCACAACAUGGGGAACUUUUUGAUAGUGACAUUAGUUUGAAACCCCAACAAAAACAUGAACAACUUCAGCUACACCACAAUGUGGACUUGACUUUAGGGAAGCAAGAUGGUGAGCAAGUAGCAGAUGAAGAGGUUGUUGUUAAGGAGGAUGCUCAAGCUUUUAUGGUUGUAGAGGAGGUGCCGGAUGUUGAGGAAAUAGUCGAGGAUGAGGUUGUUAAGGAAGAUGAUCGAGAGAUGGUGGAUGCUCAACAAGAUUUCAAGGUUGUGGAGGAGGUGCCUGAUGUUGAGGAACAUGGAAACUGGGAAUUCAGUGGAAAUAAAAUGUUGGGUGAUCAGUUUUUGCAGCGUUGUCAAAAUAGUGAUUUGAAUAAUUUUGAAGAAACCAAGGUUGAAGAUGAACAGAUUGAACAAGUGGAUGAUGAUGAAGAAGAAGAAGGAGAAGGAGAAGAAGAAGAAGAAGAAGAAGAAGAAGAAGAAGAAGAAGAAGAAGAGGCUGGUGUCAGGGUGGAUGAAGAAUAUGAAGAUGUUGGUGUAAGUGUCGAUGAAGGUUUUGACAUGGAGGCUAAUGACGAUUCAAUCGAAGAUAGAGAUGGAUUGACAGGUAAUUUUCUUCAAGGCGUUGAAACAUCUCAUGCUCCUUUUAAUUCUCAUGGGAUAUCUUCCAUGGAUUUGUUUGGAUCGAGAGAUGCUUCGUUUAUGUCCCAUGAUGCUGGUCCAUCUUUUUUUAACAAUGGUGGGAAAAGAGCAAUGGAGCCUGAAGAAGACAUACACAUUGAUGGAAACAAUAAAAGGUUAAAAAUGGAUACAAUUUUGUGGGAUCAUAAACCAAAUGAUUUUGGUUUAUGCCUGGAGCAAAUGCGCCAAUGGAUGGAAAAAGCAAAGAUGAUUUUCGAGUCUAAAGAACAAUCCUAUGCAAACUUACAAUAUGAUCAGCAAGUAACAGUGAAUGAUAUGCAAGAACGUCAUAAUUUUUUGGAAAUGGUUAUAAAAUCAAGAGAUGAAGAGUUGCAAAGAAGAAAUAAUGAGGUGUUUCGGCUCGAGCGUGAGCUCUAUCUUAUGGGUGAUCUUGUACAAGGGUAUAGAAAGGCAUUGAAUGAUACUCGGCUUAAAUUCUCUGAUUAUAGGAAUCGUUAUGCCCUUAAAGAAGAACCACUUUAUAAGGAUGCUGGCCCUGGUGGUCUGGUUUUGAGUACACGGGAACUCGAAAAACGCAGGUUAAAACAAGAAGAAGAUAGGGAGAAGUUUAUUUCGUUGUCAAAGACCAUUGAAGAUGAAUUUUUAAUUGUUUUUGAAAAGCAUCGUGCUGAUGUUACAAUGAUGGCUGAUAAAUUGGUAUCUGUUGAGAAUGAAUUGAAAAGGAUCAAGGAGUUAUUUAACCAAAGGAAAGAAGCUAAGAAGAGCCUGGAUGAACAGGAGUUAUUGGGCAAGCCUGAAAAGAAUCAGAAGUCGACUGAUAAAAAUGAAAUAAAUUUUCAGCCGGAAGACGAUCAGAAGUCAAUGGAUGAACAUGUAUCAACUCCUGGGCCUAAAGAGAAUCAAAAGUCACUGAAUGAACGGGGAUUGCCUGGGCUUGAGGGGAAUCAGAAGUCUCAGGAUAAAAUCUUGGAGAAUGAUGGUAGUGUGGAAAUUGUUUCUGCUGAAGCUGAUGAAUCGAAGGAAAAGGGAGGUGGCGAGGACUGAAUUGGGAAGAAUGUUUACUAUUUGUGUGCGGUGUUUGAACUCUGGAAUGUUUGACUAGAACGGUACCCAUUCCAUGGCGGUGUAAUAGUGACGCGGAGGUGGUGGAUGUGGCUGCGUGCGGCAAAAGAGGCGGUGUCGGUGGUGACGGUGACGGGCGGUGGUGGUGGAAAAUGAUGGUGGUGGCGGUGGCAAUUGAUGGUGGUGACGGCGACUACGACGGUUUAUGGUGUUGACUCGAAGGAACGAUAUUAAAGACUGCUCGGGAAUACUUGCAAAGCUCAGUAAUAUACGUUAUUAUUUAUUAUGCGCUUCUACAACGUAAGAUAACAUCUUUUACUACAUGAGGGACAACAAAACAUAAAUUUUCAUACGUUAAUUUCCCCAAAUGAAUGUUUGUAUGUUUAUAUGUAUUCGAGAAUAUAUGGGAGGUUUUUAUGGGAAUGAUUAUGUUACCAUUGAUGAUGAAUGGUAAGCUUACGCAUGCUAUGAUGAAAUGAUGAUAUGUUUAUGUUAUGAAAUGAUGUUAUAAUGAAAUAAGGUAAAUGAUAAGCA